rnacentral:rRNA from 1 species
UUAAGUGACUAAGCGUACACGGUGGAUGCCCUGGCAGUCAGAGGCGAUGAAGGACGUGCUAAUCUGCGAAAAGCGUCGGUAAGGUGAUAUGAACCGUUAUAGCCGGCGAUGUCCGAAUGGGGAAACCCAGUGCAAUUCGUUGCACUAUCGUUAACUGAAUACAUAGGUUAACGAGGCGAACCGGGGGAACUGAAACAUCUAAGUACCCCGAGGAAAAGAAAUCAACCGAGAUUCCCCCAGUAGCGGCGAGCGAACGGGGAGCAGCCCAGAGUCUGAAUCAGCUUGUGUGUUAGUGGAACGGUCUGGAAAGUCCGACGGUACAGGGUGAUAGUCCCGUACACCAAAAUGCACAGGUUGUGAACUCGAAGAGUAGGGCGGGACACGUGGUAUCCUGUCUGAAUAUGGGGGGACCAUCCUCCAAGGCUAAAUACUCCUGACUGACCGAUAGUGAACCAGUACCGUGAGGGAAAGGCGAAAAGAACCCCGGCGAGGGGAGUGAAAAAGAACCUGAAACCGUGUACGUACAAGCAGUGGGAGCACCUUCGGGUGUGACUGCGUACCUUUUGUAUAAUGGGUCAGCGACUUAUAUUCUGUAGCAAGGUUAACCGUAUAGGGGAGUCGCAGGGAAACCGAGUCUUAACUGGGCGUUAAGUUGCAGGGUAUAGACCCGAAACCCGGUGAUCUAGCCAUGGGCAGGUUGAAGGUUGGGUAACACUAACUGGAGGACCGAACCGACUAAUGUUGAAAAAUUAGCGGAUGACUUGUGGCUGGGGGUGAAAGGCCAAUCAAACCGGGAGAUAGCUGGUUCUCCCCGAAAGCUAUUUAGGUAGCGCCUCGUGAAUUCAUCUUCGGGGGUAGAGCACUGUUUCGGCUAGGGGGUCAUCCCGACUUACCAACCCGAUGCAAACUACGAAUACCGAAGAAUGUUAUCACGGGAGACACACGGCGGGUGCUAACGUCCGUCGUGAAGAGGGAAACAACCCAGACCGCCAGCUAAGGUCCCAAAGUCAUGGUUAAGUGGGAAACGAUGUGGGAAGGCACAGACAGCCAGGAUGUUGGCUUAGAAGCAGCCAUCAUUUAAAGAAAGCGUAAUAGCUCACUGGUCGAGUCGGCCUGCGCGGAAGAUGUAACGGGGCUAAACCAUGCACCGAAGCUGCGGCAGCGACACUAUGUGUUGUUGGGUAGGGGAGCGUUCUGUAAGCCUGCGAAGGUGUGCUGUGAGGCAUGCUGGAGGUAUCAGAAGUGCGAAUGCUGACAUAAGUAACGAUAAAGCGGGUGAAAAGCCCGCUCGCCGGAAGACCAAGGGUUCCUGUCCAACGUUAAUCGGGGCAGGGUGAGUCGACCCCUAAGGCGAGGCCGAAAGGCGUAGUCGAUGGGAAACAGGUUAAUAUUCCUGUACUUGGUGUUACUGCGAAGGGGGGACGGAGAAGGCUAUGUUAGCCGGGCGACGGUUGUCCCGGUUUAAGCAUGUAGGCUGAUUGUCCAGGCAAAUCCGGAUAAUCAAGGCUGAGGUGUGAUGACGAGGCACUACGGUGCUGAAGUAACAAAUGCCCUGCUUCCAGGAAAAGCCUCUAAGCAUCAGGUAACAUCAAAUCGUACCCCAAACCGACACAGGUGGUCAGGUAGAGAAUACCAAGGCGCUUGAGAGAACUCGGGUGAAGGAACUAGGCAAAAUGGUGCCGUAACUUCGGGAGAAGGCACGCUGGUGUGUAGGUGAAGUCCCUGCGGAUGGAGCUGAGACCAGUCGAAGAUACCAGCUGGCUGCAACUGUUUAUUAAAAACACAGCACUGUGCAAACACGAAAGUGGACGUAUACGGUGUGACGCCUGCCCGGUGCCGGAAGGUUAAUUGAUGGGGUUAUCCGUAAGGAGAAGCUCUUGAUCGAAGCCCCGGUAAACGGCGGCCGUAACUAUAACGGUCCUAAGGUAGCGAAAUUCCUUGUCGGGUAAGUUCCGACCUGCACGAAUGGCGUAAUGAUGGCCAGGCUGUCUCCACCCGAGACUCAGUGAAAUUGAACUCGCUGUGAAGAUGCAGUGUACCCGCGGCAAGACGGAAAGACCCCGUGAACCUUUACUAUAGCUUGACACUGAACAUUGAGCCUUGAUGUGUAGGAUAGGUGGGAGGCUUUGAAGCGUGGACGCCAGUCUGCGUGGAGCCAACCUUGAAAUACCACCCUUUAAUGUUUGAUGUUCUAACGUUGGCCCCUUACCGGGGUUGCGGACAGUGUCUGGUGGGUAGUUUGACUGGGGCGGUCUCCUCCCAAAGCGUAACGGAGGAGCACGAAGGUUAGCUAAUCCUGGUCGGACAUCAGGAGGUUAGUGCAAUGGCAUAAGCUAGCUUGACUGCGAGCGUGACGGCGCGAGCAGGUGCGAAAGCAGGUCAUAGUGAUCCGGUGGUUCUGAAUGGAAGGGCCAUCGCUCAACGGAUAAAAGGUACUCCGGGGAUAACAGGCUGAUACCGCCCAAGAGUUCAUAUCGACGGCGGUGUUUGGCACCUCGAUGUCGGCUCAUCACAUCCUGGGGCUGAAGUAGGUCCCAAGGGUAUGGCUGUUCGCCAUUUAAAGUGGUACGCGAGCUGGGUUUAGAACGUCGUGAGACAGUUCGGUCCCUAUCUGCCGUGGGCGCUGGAGAAUUGAGGGGGGCUGCUCCUAGUACGAGAGGACCGGAGUGGACGCAUCACUGGUGUUCGGGUUGUCAUGCCAAUGGCACUGCCCGGUAGCUAAAUGCGGAAGAGAUAAGUGCUGAAAGCAUCUAAGCACGAAACUUGCCCCGAGAUGAGUUCUCCCUGAGACUUUAAGUCUCCUGAAGGAACGUUAAAGACGAUGACGUUGAUAGGCCGGGUGUGUAAGCGCAGCGAUGCGUUGAGCUAACCGGUACUAAUGAACCGUGAGGCUUAACCUU